GCAUGAAUUUGGAUUUAUGGCAAGUCCAUCAUGCUGAGCCUCUCAUAGUACCACAUGCUAAAGCAAUCAGUGGCUUAGCAUUACCUGGACUCUGUUACUGUAGACUACUGGCACUAAAGUGAGUCGUUCAGUG
ensembl:snoRNA